rnacentral:rRNA from 1 species
UACGUAGGGUGCAAGCGUUGUCCGGAAUUAUUGGGCGUAAAGAGCUCGUAGGCGGUCUGUCGCGUCGGAUGUGAAAAUCCAGGGCUCAACCCUGGACCUGCAUUCGAUACGGGCAGACUAGAGUUCGGCAGGGGAGACUGGAAUUCCUGGUGUAGCGGUGAAAUGCGCAGAUAUCAGGAAGAACACCUAUGGCGAAGGCAGCUCUCUGGGACGGUACUGACGCUGAGACGCGAAAGCGUGGGGAGCGAACAGG